rnacentral:lncRNA from 1 species
UAACUUCCAUCCUGCAAAAGCUGCUUAAUCCAAGGAAUGAGAGGAUCAGAUGAUCUAAAAUUGCUCUCCUCGCUUAUGAAUAUGAAAGUCUUAAGUAACGUUGCCUAUCAUUUCACCUCGUUCUAGAAAUCUGAUCUCAUUGGGUGGAGCGAGGGGAGAAAGAACAUGUGAAAUUGGAUGAAAGAGAAAGCAUAUAACGAUGUUUGAUUGUCGAUGCCACAGUUUGUAGCACAAUUUAGUUUGCAUAUGCUUACCAACAAGUUAUGACAGGGUAACAUCCCCCACAUGUCUUGCCACAUUCAACCAUUGUUGGCACUCCUAAGCCAGGUUUAGGCCUCAAUUCAGGACUAGGUGCACGAGGAGGACCACCUCGUCCAUGGCUAACCUGACCUUCCGCACCUCCAACAACAGGUAAGUCUCCACGACCACCACCCCCGAGUAGUCCACCUGAGCCAAGUCGGGAUGCCAUGCCUCCACUUCCCAGUAGUCCUGCAGACCCGAGAGGACCCAAUCCAGAUAUAUAUCCUCCAUGUAUUCCUCCACGCCCUCUCCCUGCCAUUUCGGUUUUUUCCUCUAUAGGGGAAAAGAGUAAAAUCUGUUUGGUUUUAUAGAAAUCCAAUAUAGUUACAGUUCUCCAUAAGUUACACUUACUCUACUCACCUGGACUUAAAACUCGUCUGCCAAUCUGUAUUGCUACUAGUCAAAAAUGGAAAAUACUAACCCCAUCUUCCUUUUUUUUUACGUACAAAAUUUGGCGCCUCCAUAUAGACGUUGGACAACUUGAAGUUUAGGUGACUAAUUUCUUGGUUUACUCUCACAUAUAUGUUUAUUACUUGGAGAUGUCAAUCUGCUUUUUUCAGUCCUCACGUUAAUAAUAUUUGGUACAAUUAGCAAGUUUGUAUUCAUUAAAGCUAUUUCUUGAAAAUAAAUGACGAAUCCGAGCAAGUAUUAAGACCAAAAAUUAUUAUUACCAUUUUUGUCUUUUACGUGAUCUAAAGCAUAUACAAGGACAUCAUAAACUGCGGAGUUCAAGAACCAAGAGAAACUGUACUGUAUUUUAAUACGAAAGAGAGAAGAAAAUUUGUAAUCUUCACAUAGAGAAAAACUAUAAUGUGCACGAAGACCUUACCUAUACCUUAGAAAGGCUAUUUCUCAUAAGUAGUUGUGUGUUAUGUUCCCUAAAAAUAUAUUUCCAGAUUGCCCUUUUAAUUUUUUUUUAAUGAAUAAAUUAGAGGGGGGAAAGUCGCAUUAAGUUUCAUUUCAUCUUGCUACAUCGUCAAUGGUUGAUAAUUGUUUUCAGAUUGAACCAACCUCAACAGGCUGGUGAAAGGGGCAAUUCCCAGACUUGAAAGCAAAUUUGAUGAUUCAAGCAGAACCCUAAACAAAGAAAGGUACUAAUUUUUGCCAUUUUAUAAUCUUACCUGUAAAAAGUAGGAAUUUGCCCUAAAGUUCACGACCAAUGAGGUUAAAGGACUACUUGGAAAUCAACAUUCUCAACCAGGAGCAGAAAAAGAAUGAAAAACAACAUUGAGGACCAAAUCAUUACAAUGGGAGACAUUUCGGACCUUUUUGAUAAUAUACUCGUGAUUUUUCUAUACAGAAAGCGGAUAUGCCAAACAAACUUCCUUACACGAUUCCAGCCAAUCCAAUAGCAUCUCCUUCAUCAGUCUUGGAUUCAAAAGCGGGAGUUACAUUUCGAGGUUUUGCUGAAGAAUAAGAGU